AUUGAACGCUGGCGGCAUGCUUUACACAUGCAAGUCGAACGGUAACAGGUUAAGCUGACGAGUGGCGAACGGGUGAGUAAUGCAUCGGAACGUGCCCGAUCGUGGGGGAUAACGCAGCGGAAGCUGCGCUAAUACCGCAUACGAUCUGAGGAUGAAAGCGGGGGACCGUAAGGCCUCGCGCGAUCGGAGCGGCCGAUGUCAGAUUAGGUAGUUGGUGGGGUAAAGGCUCACCAAGCCAACGAUCUGUAGCUGGUCUGAGAGGACGACCAGCCACACUGGGACUGAGACACGGCCCAGACUCCUACGGGAGGCAGCAGUGGGGAAUUUUGGACAAUGGGCGAAAGCCUGAUCCAGCAAUGCCGCGUGCAGGAAGAAGGCCUUCGGGUUGUAAACUGCUUUUGUACGGAGCGAAAAGGCUCUCUCUAAUACAGGGGGCUCAUGACGGUACCGUAAGAAUAAGCACCGGCUAACUACGUGCCAGCCGCCGCCGUAA
rnacentral:rRNA from 1 species